GAGGGACGGGCCCCGGGGCCCGGCCCAGGCACGUGGAGCCGGCGCUGCUUCUCCGGGUCCCCGCAUCCCGACCCGAGUCGCCCGCACUCACCGCGCCGCCUGCGCCUGGGACCGGGUGGCCCUGCGACCCAGUGCGUCCCUGCCGGGCUCUCGGCCCCAGUGGUCACCCUCGGACGCCGCCGGUGGAACGCGGGUCCCAGAACUGAUCACGCUGACACGGCCGCUUAGCUGACUCACCGAGCGCCAGGGCGCAGGACGUGGCGAGCAAGGCUGAGGCAGCGCUCUCUCCCGCCCGCCCGCCUGUGGGCACCGCGGACUUUCCUGACAGAGUUUUUCC
rnacentral:lncRNA from 1 species